UACGUAGGGGGCAAGCGUUGUCCGGAUUUAUUGAGCGUAAAGAGCGUGUAGGCGGCCAGGUAGGUCCGCUGUGAAAACUCGAGGCUCAACCUCGAGAUGUCGGCGGAAACCAUCUGGCUAGAGUCCGGAAGAGGAGAGUGGAAUUCCUGGUGUAGCGGUGAAAUGCGCAGAUAUCAGGAAGAACACCAAUGGCGAAAGCAGCUCUCUGGGACGGUACUGACGCUGAGACGCGAAAGCGUGGGGAGCGAACAGG
rnacentral:rRNA from 1 species